UUCAACAGGCUAGGGGAGAAAUCCUGAGCGGAUGGGCUGACUCACAGGAUUCUUGUGACUUUCCUUUAUGUUUGUGAGGACAUGAAGAGUCCAAAAGAAAGAGAAAGAUGCAGAACAAUGGAACAUACUGGAAUAGAGGGAUCCUUCCGAUUUCAGUGCUUCUGAUCCAGCAAGGACCAACCACAUGCUGAUCAUCUGUCACUGCAGCAUUCUCCUCAGAGAUAUUGAAAGGAAAAGGCUCUAUUGAUGCUGCUAUCAUAGACAGAACCUGUGGUUCUCUCUACCUCUCAAACUAACACAGCCUGUCACCACAUAGGCACUCCCCAAGACCAGGAUUGGACUGGCAGUAACAGAAUGAAUCGAUAAACACACUACGGUGUCCAAAUGCCCAUUAUGGGACCAGGCUGGAGAGCAGAGCCAAGGAAGAACCAGCAAGAUGCAGACAGUGUCCAGGAGGCACAGGGAUGAGGACACGUCUUCCUCCCCCCAAAUCAGGCAGAGGUGGAAAUUGAACCUGGGUCUUACACAUCUCAGACCAUCGCUAAAGGUGUGAAGUAGCACAAGACCAGGAUUGGAACGGAUCCCUGCAGGACCCCACUAGAAACACACCCAUGUGAUGAUUCCCCAUUUACAACUACAUUGGGGAAUGGAUACAUUGUAGUUGUUAAUCCAUUUAAUGUGGGCCAUGUUGAUUUUAUAUCAUUCUAGUUUCUUAAUCAAAAUAUUGUGCAGU